rnacentral:lncRNA from 1 species
UAAGAGCAGGGAAAUUUGGACACAGGCACAGAGGAAAGAAGGUCAUGUGAUGACACAGGCAGAGAUUGGAGUGGUGCAGCUGCAAGCCAAGGAAAGCCAAGGAUUUCCAGCAACCACCAUUAGCUAGAAAGAAGCAAAGAAAGAUAAUUCCCUAGAGCCUUCAAAUAGAGCACAGCCCAACUGACACUUUAACUUUGGACUUCUAUCCUCCAGCAAUAAAUAUUAGAUCACUUAGGAAUGGUAGAAAUAUCUGGUGAUGGAAUUUCAAGAAUGGAACCUCUGGCCGGGCGUGGUGGAGACAGAGUCUCACUCUGCACCGCGCUGGCCAGAUUUUGGUCUUUCUUAUGGGAAACCUGAGUUCCUGCAUUAGAGGUAUGUUCACACUGGUCUGUUGAAUGCUGUCCUCUUAAAUGUAUUUAAAAAUUGUCCUCUGUAUUUUUCGUAUGCAGUUAUAAAUGUGUUUUGGAUAUCUAUUUUAUUCCUUAAUUUAUAUAUUUGAUUCUAGCAUCAAGCAGGUUCCCUUUGAAUUUUUCCUUUAAAGAACAUGUGUUAUUUCCUAUUACAUCCUGUACCCCUCAAACUGCCCAAUUAGGUAUACUCCUGGGGAAAAUAUGGCAAAGUUUGUUGUAAUGCAGUUUUUUUACCUAAUUAAGUAGCUACUAGAAUAAUUAAUUUCAAAAAUUUGGAGCAAACCUAGAAAGAUGCAGAUGUCUUUGUGGCUUUUCACACAAUCAAGUUUACCUAUCUUUGCUUUUAAUAUGUCUUUCCUCUUGAUGAAAUGUUUAUUUAGUUUAGUAAACUUGGGAUAUGUCAUUUAUAUUCAUAAAUCAACUUUUUAAAAAAGAGAUAAUAAGAAUGUGUAUUGUCUAUGUGUUCGUGUGUAAAACAAGACCCACUUUUAUUUUUUAUUAUUUAUUUUAUGAUUUGAGUUU